rnacentral:rRNA from 1 species
UACGUAGGUGGCAAGCGUUGUUCGGAAUUAUUGGGCGUAAAGGGCGCGUAGGCGGACUCUUAAGUCGGGGGUGAAAUCCUGGAGCUCAACUCCAGAACUGCCUUCGAUACUGGGAGUCUCGAGUCCGGGAGAGGUGAGUGGAACUGCGAGUGUAGAGGUGAAAUUCGUAGAUAUUCGCAAGAACACCAGUGGCGAAGGCGGCUCACUGGCCCGGUACUGACGCUGAGGUGCGAAAGCGUGGGGAGCAAACAGG